rnacentral:lncRNA from 1 species
UGCCUCCUUCUUUUAACUGAGUUACUAUCUCCUAGAUGCUGAUUACAGUAAAAAUUAUGUCUCUCUCUGUAGGAUUUGUCAAUGUGGUGAGAAACAGAUUAUGAGUGGGGCUGAACAUUUCAAACUUCUUCUGGUAGAACACCCAUCACCCAAUCAUCUGUGUGAUGAUUAAUAUUAUACAUCAACUUGGCUGGGCCACAGUGACAUGAAACCUUCUGGGUGUUUCUAUAAGGGUGACUUUGGAUAAUACUAACAUUUAAAUCAGUAGACUUUGAGUGAAGCAGAGUACUCUCCAUAUCACAGGUGGGCCUCAUCCCAUCAGCUGAAGGCCUUACAGGAACAAAGAUUGACCUCCCAGUAUAAGAAGUAAUCUGCCAGCAGGCUGCCUUUGGACUCCAACUGCAACUCUUCCCUGGGUUUCCAGCCUGCCAGCCUACCCUGCAGACUUUGGACUUGCACCUCCACAACCAUACGUUUCCAAAAUCUGGAGAGCGGCUGUGAGUUUGCAGUGCAGUAUGGGGAGAGACCAGAACCCACCGGAAGCCUCCAGGUGCUGCAGUGAGGAGGAGCUGGAACCCUUCUCCUCCAGGUGCCAGCUCGCGCUGCUGUGGUUCUCAUCUGUAGAGGACGUGGACCAUCCAGGGAAUCACCUGCAGCUGACAGAGGAAACUCUGAAGCCCACCAGGCCUGUACAGACUGGGGAAACACCAGUGCCUGAGGAUAGUGGCUAAACUGCCAGAGAACAUGGGGCUGAGGUGGAGCCUGGAUGACUCUUCUGCCUCUGAGCAAAGCUGCUUGCCCUACACACAACAGUAUUGUCUUAACAUCUGCUGAGUUCCCAGGUCCUCUUAGCAGCAGGCAGAGGCAUUCAGAGCCCAGACCCCAAAGACAUGCUGAUCUGGUUUAAACCUGACUGUGCUACUCAUCAACUGGGGGACCUAGGCAGGUUACAUUGUCUUUUUGUGCCUCAGUUUCCUCAUCUAUAGAAUAGAGGUAUUCUAGUUUCCUGUGAUUUCUGUAAUAAAUUUACAAACUUUGUAACAAAUUACCACAAAUUUGGUGGCUUCAAACGAUAGAAAUUUAUUCUCUCACAAACCUGGAGACCAAAAGUCUAAAGUCUCUAUCAUUGGACUGAAAUAAAAGUGCAGGUGGGGCCAGACACAGUGGCUCACACUUGUAAUCCCAGCACUUCGGGAGGCCAAGGCGGGCGGAUCAUGAGGUUAGGAGUUUGAGACAAGCCUGGCCAAUAUGGUGAAACCCCGUCUCUACUAAAAAUACAAAAUUAGCCAGGCGUGGUGGUGCAUGCCUGUAAUCCCAGCUACUUGGGAGGCUGAGGCAGGUGUAUCUCUUGAAACCAGGAGGCGGAGGUUGCGGUGAGCCAAAAUCAUGCCAUUGCAC